AAUAGGUGGUUUUCUGAAACGGAAUCUACUCGUGCGAGUAUCGUGCAAAUAUUUCACGCGUGUAUCGCAUCAAUUGCAUGCUUCUUCCCAAGUUCGAAGGGAGAGUUCCUCUUCGAGAGAGCUCCUUCGCCUUUCGAUUUUCGCUGCCGUUCGAGAUGCUUCUUCCUAAGUUCGAAGGAGAGCUCCUUCGGGCCUGUCUCCUCUUCGCGUAGAUCUGAUCGAUGGCUGUUCCGAAGGAGAGCCUGUCAAUGAAAAUGCAAAGUAACAUCUCUCUCAAUGGUGGUGAUCGGACAUGCUAGCAGUUUCACCGGCAAGCUUCAACAUUACCAGCGAGACCAAGUGUUGUAGUAGCAUCACCGGCUCUGAUCUCUCCAUCAUCUUUCUUUUUUUUCUUUUUGUCUUUUUGCUCUCCCCACAUCACCUCUCUCGCACUUUCUCUCUCUCCCCCUCUCUCCCUAUUUGGGUUUUUUAGGUUUUCCCUUCUCUUGCUUCCGGCAGUAGCAGUAACAGUGGCAGACCUUGCCUUCUCUCUCACGAUUUUCUCUCUCCCUCUCUCUCUCUCUCCCCCCCUCUCUCUCAAUGGCGGUGAUCGGAAGAGCUUUCCGCCUGCAAAUGUGGUAUAUUUUUUAACAUGCAAGAACGGCGAGACACCGGCGAGACCAAGUGUUGUAGCAGCAUCACCGGCUCCGAUCUCUCAGUCAUCUUCCAAUGCUUCUGCUCGAAAGAAGAUGGCUACUUUCUAAUUUUUUACUCUUUAUUUUGUUCAUAUCUUUUGCUUUUUUUUUAAUCUCUCCUCUUUAUUUUGUUCAUAUCUUUUGCUUUUUUUUUUCAAUCUCUCUGGAGAUUGUUCACUAAAUGUUUCAAAUUUUGUGCCAGAAACCUAUUGGAAAUAAGGAAAGGGUUCUUCUUGAUCUACAGCUUGAUUUAGAGAAGGUUGAUAGGGAAGUUGCAGUAUUGGUGGCACCGAACAGCAACAUCCGCAACAAGUUCAACAGCAGCAGCCGCCUCCGCCGCCGCCAGCCCAACCAAAAUCUGGAAGAAAUGAUUUGAAGGCGGAGAAACCCGUUCAAUUCACCUCUUUUCCGUUGCCGAUGACUAUGGCGGGCUGACCAGGCGGGCUUACUUCUCUGGAUACAUGCCACCACUUCAAGCUGUUGUGUCCAUGGAUGGGAGUUCUGGAUCUUCGACGCCUGGCCAGGUACCACAUUUGUUUCUCUCAACAGCGGCCAAAGAGGUGCGCAACUCAUUACCACAUUGCUCGGAGCAUCUACUGUCAUCAGUAGUUUACAUGGAUGAAUCCUUUCUGGCAUGCAGUUGCUGGUUCUGCAUCUUUUUAUGGGGCCAAGCCAUACAAUCUCAAUGUUGUGCCCCCGACAGAAACCACUAUUCUUGGAAACCCAUUGCAGRGAAGCUUACCAAGUAGGAAUUUGAACUCGAUUUCAGACAAGGGCCAAGUUGCUAGCACAUUUUCUGGUCAUACUACAAAGGAUAAGAACUCUGCAGUGGCUGCACCCAACUUUGUGGAUGUCCAGAGAAAGCAGCAUGUGCUCCAACAAGCUCUGCAGUCUGCUUCUUCUGGAAAUCUGCUGCUUGUUUAUUCUAAACUCAGUUGUCAUCCCAACGCUACAAUGGAUUUCGCCCGAUGAAUGCCAAAACUUUGGUUCAAAAGAUCUUUGCCCCCUUGUUGGGAUUGUAAAACUAUAUUCCUUUUUACGUAAUGGUAUCCAACUAUUCUAUGGCCUAUUGGUUACAAUCAGAAUUUGUUUUAGAAUUGCAUUUCAACUAAUCAGUCUACAGUUUAGUCAGAUUUUUAUAGCUCCCCGACUUUAACCAGCCAGUAGAAAUUCUUGGCUGGUUCUGGAUCACAAGGUAUCUGAAUAGUCCAUUUGUUGCCUCAAUUUCUUAUUAUUUUAAUAUAUGAAUUUCUUGUGAUUAUACAAUUCUAUAAUAGAAAGAAUAUCAUGUAAUUGGUCCUAAUAGCUCAAAAUUAGCAUUGCAGCUAAUCAAUGAAAAAAAAAAAAAACAAAACAGUUUCAAAAGAUUGCAUCUACAUUAAAAGAAAAUGGAUAUCAAAUAUUUACCUAGCUUCAUUACAGGGAGGCUAACCAUCACAAGUCAAGGGUAUAUUGCUUCAUAGUUGUUAGAUAAGCUUAAGAAAAGGAAGAAUUGUCACAUACAUUGUAUUAAUUUAGAAAAAGAAUAUAAUAGAGUGCGUAGAGAUUAAUUUUAUGGGUAUUGGUUAAAAAGUUAGCUCUUUAGCAGAUACUUAUCAAUCUGUUAGGUAUAAAUUCCCAUUAAAAGAAAUGGUACAUGUUGUUGCAUUAGAGAUAAACCACAUAUUAAGAUUGAGAUGAUAGUAUUUUCAAUGAUAAGACUUAAGAGUAGGACCCAAGCAGAAAUCCUCGAGUUAGUUAAGCUGGAAGCUGCACAUUGGGUGAAAACUUUGGAUGAUUUCAAAGUCUUUUCACUAAAUGAUAAUUUAAGAACAUGGAAAGAGGUGGCACUAUCGGCUAUAGACAAGGCAAGGGAAGUGAUGGAAUGGUGGGGGGUAGGGGGGUGUCUUCAAAGAUAAAGAAGGUAGAGUGGUGGCUCAAUAUUCAGGACCCUUGGAGCAUAGUGAUGAAUUGACAGCUGAACUGGUUAGUCUACUGUAGGGGUUAAUACCCAGAUUCCUUGGGUAUUUAGGUAUAAAUUUAGGGAGAUUGUAAGUCUAACAAGAGAACUAAAUGUUUCCUUUAAGUGGGUAAGAAGAACAGCAAAUGGAAUGGUAGAUUCUCUGGCCUAACAACGGGCUGUGAGACGGCAUAUGUUUUUUGGAAAAUCUAUAAUCCUUGCUGAUUUGGAAUGGAACUUACACCCCAGAUCAUGUAAUUCCUAAUCUUUCAUUAAUAAAAUUCCUUUUCUACUGAUAAAAAAAAAGGGAUUGCAUUUGCAUCUACAUCUCUCUAUAUAUAGUAUGGUGGGACUCAUCAUCAUCAUCAUCAUCUAAGCCCAACUAUAUGGGGUUGGCUACACGAGUCCUGUUUCACCAUUCCAUUCUGUAUGGUGCAAUAUAGUAUAUUGGGGUCAAAUAAGAUUAUUUGGUUUUUACCACUAACUAAUUCUUUUCACUACGUUUAAAUUGUUGUAGUAAUGAAUUUUCCAUGUAAGGUAGGUAGUGAUUUUUGUGGUAUUUCUAAGGUGUCCUUUUU